UGAAACAUUGAUUCCCAUACAAUCACCAAAGUUAAGCAAUGUCAACCCUGGCCAGUACUUAGAUGUGUGAUCGCUUGGGAAUACCAGGUGCUGUAA